CCGGCGCACGGGUGAGUAACACGUAUCCAACCUGCCGUCUACUCUUGGACAGCCUUCUGAAAGGAAGGUUAAUACAAGAUGGCAUCAUGAGUUCACAUGUUCACAUGAUUAAAGGUAUUCCGGUAGACGAUGGGGAUGCGUUCCAUUAGAUAGUAGGCGGGGUAACGGCCCACCUAGUCUUCGAUGGAUAGGGGUUCUGAGAGGAAGGUCCCCCACAUUGGAACUGAGACACGGUCCAA
rnacentral:rRNA from 1 species